CAGCAGCCGCGGUAAUACAGAGGGUGCGAGCGUUAAUCGGAUUUACUGGGCGUAAAGCGUGCGUAGGCGGCUUCUUAAGUCGGAUGUGAAAUCCCUGAGCUUAACUUAGGAAUUGCAUUCGAUACUGGGAAGCUAGAGUAUGGGAGAGGAUGGUAGAAUUCCAGGUGUAGCGGUGAAAUGCGUAGAGAUCUGGAGGAAUACCGAUGGCGAAGGCAGCCAUCUGGCCUAAUACUGACGCUAAGGUACGAAAGCAUGGGGAGCAAACAGGAUUAGAUACCCGUGUAGUCCCUGUCUCUUAUAC
rnacentral:rRNA from 1 species